CGAGCUGGUUCUGGCUGGCACAAGACUAACACCCCACCCUUUACCCCACCAUGGUCAAUCUGCACCACCCAUCCCUCCUCGACGAUACCAGGCUCAGGAUCACUCUUCUCCUCAGGCCAGCUGUGUUCAACUUAGAGCGACACAGGCCUGAUGUGUGCUGGGUCCAGACUGCAAUAGCUCUAUUUUUAGGAACAACCAGAAAAAGUCAGGGCCCUAUGGAGUUAAUGCAGCUUCUUUAAUUCCUGUGGUGACAGGUAACACAGGUAAAAUUGUGAAAUUAAAGAAAAGCAAAAAGCUUUAUAGAGAUAAAAAUUUGACUCCUAUAACAUGUCAUCCAAAAAGUCCACCAGUGUCUCCAGUAAAGUCUUUAAAAUUAGCUCUUCUUAAUGUUAGAUCUCUUGUUAACAAGUCACUAAUAAUUAAUGAUUUUAUUUUGACACAUCACUUGGACUUUUUAUUUCUCAAUGAAACAUGGUUGAAUGAUGGUAUCAGUAAUACUAUUCUCAAUGAAAGUGCACCACAAGACUUUAUUUAUUUAAAUAAGUGUCGUACUUGCAGGAAAGGUGGUGGAGUUGCUGCCAUUUUUAAAUCAAUAUUUCAGUGCAAAGAAAUAACAUUUGGUGAUUUUAUCUCCUUUGAAUAUAUGUCAUUCUUACUGAAGGGUGAUUCAAGAGUUCUGUUUUUAGUCGUUUAUAGACCCCCAAAAUAUUCUGGAGAAUUCAUGGAUGAGUUUGCUGAACUGCUGUCAGUUGUAUGCACUGAAUACAACUUUUUAAUAAUAACAGGUGACUUAAAUAUUCAUGUAGACAAUAACAUGGACAAUACUGCCAAAGAACUGUAUGCUUUAAUGGAUACUUUUGGUCUUACACAACAUGUGACUGGUCCGACACACACUCAAGGUCACACUUUGGAUCUGGUUAUCUCUAAAGGUGUUGAUAUCUCUGCUGUUGAUGUAAGAGACUUAGCUCUAUCUGAUCAUUUCUGUGUCUUUUUUGACCUAGAGACUGUAACAUCUGUUCCCCCUAGUUAUGUGUGUUUAAAGAAAAGGUACAUAAAUGAGAACACAAGUGCACAGUUUAUGGAAGCCAUAGCAAUGACACCAACAUUGAGUGCUGAGACAGUUGAUGAUCUUCUGGAUGAGUAUAAUAGAAACGUCUGUAAUGUCAUAGAUGUGGUGGCUCCAAUCAAAACUAAGAGAAAACCAAACACACAGAAAACACCUUGGAGGAGGACUGAGAUAAUGCAGAAUUUGAAAUCUGACUGUAGAAGAGCUGAGCGUAAAUGGAGAUCAACAAAACUCCAAAUUCAUCUAGAACUGUACAAAAUAAGUCUGCGAAAAUUCAAUGAUGGCUUGUUCAAAGCAAGGCAGCAAUACUUUUCUGAAAUUAUUGCCAAAAAUGUCAACAACUCUCGCACGUUGUUUUCUGUAAUUGAAAAGCUCACAACCCCCCCAGAUCAGAUAGCCCCUGAAUUACUGUCAGCUGGAAAAUGCAAUGAAUUUGCUGUAUAUUUCAAUGAAAAAAUACAAUCAAUAAGGUCAAACAUCAGAACAAACCAGCAAAAUCACAAAAAGCUUGAACAGCUUCAACCACUGAGGGAUGAGUCAACUACAAUGUUAGAGUUUAUUACAGUGAACCCAAAAACAAUAGAGGAGACUGUUCAGCAGCUGAAUCCAUCAACGUGUUGCCUUGACACAAUACCCUCAAACUUCUUUAAAACUGUUGUAAAGUCAAUUGUCACUGAUUUGUGUCAGAUAAUUAACUGCUCAUUCCAAUCAGGCACCGUACCAAAAUCCCUGAAAGUAGCUGCUGUGAAACCGCUGUUAAAAAAGAGAACACUGGAUGCCUCUAUACUGGCUAACUAUAGACCAAUCAGCAACCUUCCAUUCAUGGCCAAGAUCAUUGAGAAGGUGGUCUUCAACCAACUGAGUCAAUUCUUAACAUUCAACAAAAUAUUUGAUAAAUUUCAGUCAGGUUUUCG
rnacentral:lncRNA from 1 species